GUAAAAUUCCUCUGCUGUAUUCUGCAGAGCAGUGAGAGAACAUUUCAUUCUCUGACACUUUCGUUUCUUUCUCUUUCUUUCUUCAUCAUCUUUCUCAUAUAUGCAUUGAGAUUCCAUAGAAACCAGAAUCAUACAAGAAACACUAACAUGGCCUCAGAGCCAGGUUAGAUCACUUGAAUCAGGGCGUUCUUAAGACUCUGAAAUCGAGCUAUAUCGAAGCUCACUCAAGGUUUGGUGAAGGUUGCUGGAUCUCGAUUUUGACCUGAAACAACUUGUUUUUGGUUUAUCUGAGCUCAUAAAUGGCUGGAUCUGGAAGUUCAGAAGUGAAAACUCUGAUCUUCUUCGGUGAGAACUAUGAGUCAGGGAGAAUCAAAAUGGUAACCAUAUUCAAAUCAUAUGGUUUAUGGAAUCUGGUGGAAAAGGGAAUUACGAUUCCUGAUUUGGAGAAGAAAAAGAAAGCUGGGGAAGCUUUAGAAGAUGAGGUUGAUGAGAAAAUGGUUGCAAUCUUCAUAAAAGAUGCAAAAGCUCUGGGUAUCAUACAAAACGCAGUUUCCGAUCAAAUCUUCCCUCGUAUCGCCAACGCAGACUCAGCUAAAAUGGCAUGGGAGAAUAUCAUGGUGGUGACCAAGUUAGAUUGGUAAAACUUCUAAAUCUCAAACGUGAAUUUGAAUACACUAGAAUGCGUGAUAAUUAAUGAGCCUCUAUCUCUUUAUCUUACACGAUUGAAUGAGUUGAUUAAUCUGAUGAAAACAUUUGGUGAGAUUCUUUCAAAUGAGAGACUUGUUCAAAAGGUUUUGAUUAGUCUCAGUAAAGCAUAUAAUCCUAUAUGUCUUGUGAUUGAAAACACAAAGAGCCUAUUGUAAAAUUGCAGGAAGUGAUUGAUAUUUUGAAAAGCCAAGAAUAAUAGUUCGAUUUGCAUAGUGUUAAUACAGCUGAGAAAGCAUUUGCCUCAUUCUCUGUGAGUCCAAAAGGGCAUAACAAGGGUGGUGCUCAAUCUGGUUCAUCCAAAUUUUAGAAGAAUUGGAAUCCUAAGGGUAAACAAUGGGAAUCAGAACCCAAGUUUCAACAUACUAGCUCAGCACAAAACUUGAACUUGUCACAGUCAAUGAGUCAAGAAGUUAUAAAACCUCAGUGUAAAGUGUGCUCCAAGUUUCAUUUUGGUGAGUGCAGAUAUAAGGGGAAGCCUAAGUGCUAUAACUGUGAUAGAUUUGGUCACUUGGCUAGAGAAUGUACUUCAGGUAAGGCAGUUCCGAAGGCAAACUGUGCUAGCCAAAUGGAGGUGACAGGGAACUUAUUCUAUGCAAAUAGUGCAAUAACUUAGGCAAAGAUAAAUGGAGAGUGGUACAUUGACAGUGGUUGUAGCAAUCACAUGGCUGGAAAUGUGGAGCUCCUUGUUGAUAUAAGGACAAAUAUUGCAAGAAAGGUUCAAAUGCCAAUAGGUGCACUUGUGGAUGUAGCUGGUAUGGGUUCACUCGUUAUGGACGCAAAUAGAGGCAGAAAAUUCAUCAGAGAAGUGAUGUAUCUUCCAGAUUAUCUCCAAGACAGUUGCCAACAGAUUGAAGAAGGCCUUGCCCCAUGUGAUCUCGGAGUUUCAGAGUGCUUAUUCCUGAUCGUAUGAUAUUGGAUAAUGUGCUAGCAGCAUUUGAAACUAUUCAUUAUUUGAAGCGGCUGGGAAAAGCAGGAGGGGGAAAGCUUGUGUUGAAACUGGAUAUGGCAAAAGCUUAUGAUCGUGUUAAAUGGUUCUUUCUAGACCGCAUGAUGCAUACUAUGGAUUUUCCUGCUCGUUUUGUCAAUUUUAUUAUGGGAUGUAUUACCACAGCUUCUUACUUGGUGUUACUUCAAGGGGACCUUUUGGUAAGCUUAUCCUGUCCAAGGGUUUGCGCCAAAGGGAUCCAAUUUCACCCUACUUACUUCUUAUCAUGGCUGAGGGAUUCUCUGCCCUUCUCCACCAAGCUGAGUUCAAUUCUAAGAUCAGGAGAGUCUCAAUUGCUGCUUCGGCACCUUCUCUAAAUCAUUUGAUGAUAGUUUGUUGUUUUGUGAUGCAGAGCCUACUCAAGUUGAUAAGUUAAAGUGUAUAUUCCGCAUCUAUGAGGAUGCUUUCAGGUGUCAACAGAUUAAACUGGAGAAAUCAGCCAUGUGUUUUAGUCCUUCUACGUCGCUGGCAGCACAUGCCCAAAUUCAAGCUAUAUUGGGUGUUCCUAUUGUCCUAGGAACCCGAAAAAUAUUUGGGACUCCCUACCAUUGCUGGAAAGAAUAAAAAAUCUGAUGUUUCAUACUCUUAAAGAUUGCAUAUGGAAGAAGAUUACAUGUUGGGAAGGUCGAUUACUUUCGAAAGUUGGAAAGGAAGUUUAGUUAAGGCAGUUUGCCAAGCCAUGCCUACUUAUUCUAUGAGUGUAUUCAGCUUCCCGGUUGCCAUUUGCAAUGAGAUUGAAAGUAUUAUUACUCUCUUUUGGUGGUCUAAAGGCACUGAGAGAGGAAUUCAUUGGAAAAAUUGGAAAGCUUUGUGUCGUCAUAAGUCAGAGGGCGGUUUGAGCUUCCAUGAGUUAGUCAGUUUCAAUAAAGCUCUGUGGGCAAAACAAGGAUGGCGCUUGCUUGAAUCUCCUAAUUCACUUGAAGCUCAUAUGGUGAAAGCAAGGUAUUUCCCUACUUUUGAUUUCUUGAAUGCCCAAGCUGGCUCGGCUCCUUCAUAUACUUGGCUAUCUAUUCUGUGGGAUAGAGAAUUGGCUCGGCUCCUUACGAUGGAGAAUUGGUGAUGGCCGAUUGGUACAAAUAUAUGGUGAUGCUUGGAUUCCUCACAGCCGCAAUUUUACUGUGCAAACCGCUCCUCAUAUCCCCCAAUAUCCAUCAUAAGAGAAUAAAUUUCAA